rnacentral:rRNA from 1 species
UACGGAGGAUGCGAGCGUUAUCCGGAUUUAUUGGGUUUAAAGGGUGCGUAGGCGGGAUGCCAAGUCAGCGGUAAAAAUGCGGUGCUCAACGCCGUCGAGCCGUUGAAACUGGCGUUCUUGAGUGGGCGAGAAGUAUGCGGAAUGCGUGGUGUAGCGGUGAGAUGCAUAGAUAUCACGCAGAACUCCGAUUGCGAAGGCAGCAUACCGGCGCCCUACUGACGCUGAGGCACGAAAGCGUGGGUAUGGAACAGG